rnacentral:rRNA from 1 species
GACGAACGCUGGCGGCGUGCUUAACACAUGCAAGUCGAACGAAAAGGCCAUGCUUUUGCGGGGUGCACGAGUGGCGCAGGGGUGUGUAACACGUGAGUAACAUGCCCUUGAAUGUGGGAUAACUUCAGGAAACUGGGGCUAAUACCGGGUAGGAGCUACUGCUGCAUGGGGGGGGUUGGAAAGUUUCGGCGGUUGGGGAUGGAUUAGCGGCUUAUCAGCUUGUUGGUGGGGUAGUGGCUUACCAAGGCUUAGAAGGGUAGCCGGCCUGGGAGGGUGACCGCCGACAAUGCUCCUACGGGACGGCGCAGUCGCCUACGGUCCGCAGCAGGCGGAAGUAUUGCACAGUGGCCGGAAGCCUGUGAUGAAGGCCCCGCGUGCGGAAUGACCGCCUUCGGGUUGUGAACCGCUUUCGCCGGUGACGAGGCGGGAGUGACGGUAAUGGGUAAAGAAGCACCGGCUAACUACGUG